UUGUCGUUGCUUUUCAAUUCCCGCCUUUUCAAUUUCCUUUUUUCUCUUUUAUCGAGCAGUGUGCACUGACCCUCCCUCUCUCUUAUCGAGUAGUGUGCACCCUUCCUCUCUCUUCAUAGAACGUCGUGCAGGGCAAAACAAAAGUGGGGAGUUUCUUCUCUCACAUGUUCAUAGUGAGGAGUUUCUUCCGUGCAGUGUAAUUUCCCUUUGCCUUUUCAAUUUCCUUUUCCCCCUUUGUUUUCUCUGUUCAUAGUGAAACAUUUAGAAUAGUGGGGAGUGCAGUGCAGACACCAAAACAAAAGCGCAGAAAGUUUCUUCCCUCACAUGUUUUCCAAACCAUGGCCUCCGUCACCUACAUAGAGCGUCGUUACAACUACGACAUCUACACCGUCUAUCUCGUCAAAAACUACAUCACUGUCAUCGUCACCGCCAGUGCCUCCGUGGUCAAGCGGUGGAUCUCCUCCAUGCUCUACUUCAACCGCUACUUCGUCGACUAGGAGUGCCUCGUUGUCAGCCUCAAUGUGCAGUGGACUCCCGGCGGCCAUGAUCCUCUGCCGGACAUGCUUCAACUCUGUGUCGGCCGCCGCUUCCUCAUUUUCCAUCUCGCGCACGCAGACUACGUGUCGGAGAGUGGAUCGCCGAACAAACCCACGCCAACCGUCAAUGCCACACAGAAGAGGUUUCUCGCAAGUUCGCUCAGGAGCAAGAGUUCUUUCGCCAAACCGCUCUCAUCUCCAAAAAAGAGAAGGAAAAGGUCUGAAUCGCAUCCUUUCUCUCUGCAUCUUUCCUCUCUCCUAGGCCGUCGAUGAAUGAAGAAAAAAAGAAACCGAGGCCCAAGGUAGACAGUGCAUUGCAUGAUUGACAGCAGGAGUUACUCAGUCAUCAUAGCGAGAAAUCAAACAAAAAGAAGUAGAUUCACAGCAAGAGUGAAAUGUGUAACUUGGCCUCCCUUUCCAUUUUUAAUGAUUCUAUUCUCUUUAUCUUUAUAAAACAGAAUAACUAUAAUGCUUGUUACACUUAUAUCUUAUUUUAACUGCAGUUUUAUCUA